rnacentral:rRNA from 1 species
GUUUUGACAGCUUCUUAGAGGGACUAUCGAUUUUCAAGUCGAUGGAAGUUUGAGGCAAUAACAGGUCUGUGAUGCCCUUAGACGUUCUGGGCCGCACGCGCGCUACACUGACGGAGCCAGCGAGUCUAACCUGUGCCGAGAGGUAUGGGUAAUCUUGUGAAACUCCGUCGUGCUGGGGAUAGAGCAUUGCAAUUAUUGCUCUUCAACGAGGAAUUCCUAGUAAGCGCAAGUCAUCAGCUUGCGUUGAUUACGUCCCUGCCCUUUGUACACACCGCCCGUCGCUACUACCGAUUGAAUGGCUCGGCCCGUGCCCCCGCCCCGCCCGCCGC